UAGCAGGCUAUGGAAAAACACGGAUUACCAGUAAAUGUCAAAUAGAGAUGCUUGUUGUCAGUGUCAGUCGUUUUCGUCCUUUUAUUAUAUCAAAAAUAUGCAACGUGCACGUGAAACAAGAAAUCUUACUGGCGAAGAAUGUGCUCAAGCAUUAAUAUUGUCUGAGGAAGGUUGGAGCUACCGAAGAAUUGGUGAACGAUUUAAUGUAACUCACUCAACCAUUUCACGAGUUAAGCUUAAUUUU